rnacentral:lncRNA from 1 species
UCCUAAAUAGGGCUUGCCUUCAAAUUCCAGCUACACAUUCUGGAAUUUUGGACUUGUUUUGUUUUGUUUGUUUCUCAAGACAGGGUUUCUCUGUGUAGCCCUGGCUGUCCUGGAACUCUGUAGACCAGGCUGGCCUGUAGAUCCUCCUGCCUCUGCCUUCGUAGCACUGCAAUCAAUGGUGCGUGCUUUUACAUUCGGCCUACGCAAGUUAUGUAACAGUGUUUCUUACUGCUAAACUAGAGAUCACACAUAGUACUUCACGGUCACCGAGACAAUAAAAUCAGCAGGCACAGGGCCUGGCUGGCACUUGUUCAUUUGAGAGAAUGUUGAGAGAUGUUUUCAAAGUCUGCUUAGCACUCAUCCUUUGGUGCCCUUUUCCUAAAGACAGAAGGAAAGCCUCAGGUUAUUGGCUGAGCAAGCCAUUAUGAAUUUGUCUGCUGUCGUGGUUGCUUGGAUGAAAGGAAGCAUCUGGUAAACACAUGGUGGCCCCAUGGUGCAGAGAAUGUUUCUGGGGCUUGGCCUGAUCCAUUCUGCCCGGAUUCUUUUAGGAACCGGUGUUAUCCAAGGAGCAGCCUGCAUUCCAGUAUAGCAGCCAUGUCUCUCUGCAAGCUUCCAGUGGGCACAUGUGGGGCACAUUUCGUUUUGAGAGACCUGAUGGCUCCCACUUUGAUGUUCGGAUCCCACCCUUCUCCUUGGAAAGCAAUAAGGACGAGAAGACACCACCCUCAGGCCUUCACUGGUAGGCCAGCUGAGGCCCUGGUUGGCCCCUACGAACAACAGCUCUCAACCCGUAAUUGCUGCAGAACUCUAAACCUCUCCCUACUGUGGGAUUCUUUUUUUUUUUUUUUGGAGAGAGAUGGUAACUUUUCUUGGAAGACCCACAUAAGACUCCUCCAAGGUUGGCCCCUGCCCAGAUUCUGCU